AAAAGUUCCAGAUUUUUGGUUGAACGUGCUUGAUUAAAUAUUCAUGUUUAUUCUCUGCUCCCUCCUGAGGCCCUACUGAAAUGCUAAUAAAGAAGUUCAAAACCUGUAUAAACACACAAGCACAAAGUGAACCGAAAAGAUGGUGACAGCACAAGAGAGAACAAGAUGACGUUGAAUGUGUUGAAAUCAAAUGGAAAUGUGACAAACUAGUUUAACCGAGAGAAAAAACCUGUGCCUAUAGAGGGGAAAGCUGAGAGGAGGCAGUCCUCUGCGUUCUGCAGCAUUCUGGAAAUGCUCAUGAAUUAGAAGCAUCAAUUUUGAUGGGGAAAAAAGUAUCAGGUGUAGAGGGUAGAUGGGAAAGAAAUAAGAAUUAAUUGAAAGACUAGCCUCAAGAAGGAGCAGAUGGAACCCAGUGUAACCCUCCUAUGUCCAUUGCCACCCUGUACUACAGGCUGCAAGCUACCUCACAUCUGGUAGAAGAUUAAAGGUUGAAUCUGGUUAUUUUGAACUAUACAGUUUCUGGAUUAGAGACUACUAGAGACAUCUGAGGAUGAAGUGAAGUGCCAUAGAGAAAACAGGGGGAAUAAGUGAAAUUCUAUAUUCCUAGUGUUAAGUCCAUCAGCUCCCGUGUUCAACUCAGUUUAAAAUUCUAGUUUUCCAAAUAAUUUUUCAUCAGAAUCUUCUAAGAGUUGUUGAUGCUGAUUAGAAAUCUAAUUCCAGUGUGACUCUUUCUACCUCAAUUAGUGAUUCUGUUACUUUUCUCUCCAUACUCAUCUAGGAUUUUCCCCCUUAUCCUUGGUAUUAUAGUUUUGCUGGAAUAUAUUUCAGUGUAAGUCUUUUAAAUUCAGUGAUAGUCACAGUUUGUGGGCUAUUUUCAUCUAAAUAUACGAUGUCCUUCAGUUGUGGGAAAAUUUGUUCUAUCACUUCUUUAGUAAAUCUCUCUCUUCUGUUUCUUUUUUUCUAGGACAAAUAUUAUUUGCUUGUUUUAUCUCCAAGAUUGAUUUUCUAUGUAGUAAUAUAUUUCAGUGCAUUUUUGACUCUGUCUUUUUCUUCUGUGUCCUGAGAGAUUUUCUCAGUUUUGAUUUUCAAACCAUCGGCUGAUUUUUAUAAAGUUUUGGCAACAGCAUUUUAGUUUUUAAAGAGUGCUUUCUGGUUGUUGAAUUUUUUGUUGUUGAUUUUUUAAGGAUAUAUUAAACUAGAUAUUAUUGAACAUUCUCUUUUAUUCUUAGAAUUUUGUUUCCCUUUGCAUCAGGCUUUCUGAUUCUUUUCUUGAUUAUAUUUCUUGCCUUAUACUGAGGACUAAUCUUCCCUUUAUAUUAUAAGAAGAAAGGACUAUACAACUACAGGUAUUUCCUGUGUCAUUGUUUAUGUAGGUCUGUUUUCUAAUAGGUUUCCUUGAAGAUGUGAUUUAGUUAAGGACCUUGAGAUAGAAAUAUUAGCCUAUAUCAUCAUCCAUCCAGGUGGACUCAAUCUAAUCACACGGGUUUUUAAAAUUGGAGAAACAUUCCCUGCUGUGGUCAGAGGGAGAUGUGAACUAUAGUUGAACGAUCAAAGAGAUGAAACAUUGCUGGCUUUGAAGAUGGAGGGAGGGGCUGCAAACUAAGGAAUGUGCGCAGCCUUUAGAAGUUGGAAAACAGAUUCACUCCUAGAGCAGUUAGAAAGGUAUAUUGCUGAAUUCUUGAUUUUAACCCAAUGAGACUCAUGUUGAAUUUCUAGCCUGCAGAGCUGUAAAAGUAAGUUUGUAUUGUUAAGACAUCAAGUUCGUGAUAAUUUGUUUUAGCAACCAUAUGUCAAUUUGCAGCUGUUUAUUUAGAAUAUGUGAAUAAGGUUUGAUGCCAUUUUCAACCUCCUCACUCUUGAAUCCCUCAAACCUCCUCCCCACUCUCCACCAGUGCACCAAUGCCAGAUUGAAGGGUUACUCAUUACAAUUUACAUUAUAGUCUCUCACAGUUGUGUUGUUUUCUGUGAUUUUCACUUCUGUAGCUAAAUCAUCAUCCCCUUUACAUUUCUAUCCUUUUAUCAGUGAGAAUUUUGGAAAGAUCGGUAUGGUCAUCUGAAUUAGAAGCAUUAUUCAUGCACUUCUUAUAAGUGAGAGAAAAGCUACAGGCAAAAAGAAGCAGGACAAUGAGGAUCCCGAGAACAGAUUUGAUUUUCUGUUGCUAGAAACAAUCACAGUCCCAGAAAAGAGGCUUUCUAACUUUAGAAAAAGGUCCCUAUCGCCCUGAGGAAAGGCAGCUUGUUUCUCUCUUCUCAUUUUCCCUGAAAUUGAUCUGCUGGUAUGAUAGUUACUCUUUUAGCCCUAGGGUCUACAAGCUGAAGUGGGUGGGAAGAAAAGGCUUUUUUCAGAAGAACAGCCUUGCUAUUGCCAUAAUCAACACUACCUUGUUUUACAAGACGCGACUCAUUCAUGUAAAACUAUUGGUUGCCUAUCUAUGUCAGAUUUCAUGAUCAAACAGCUCACAUCUUUUUUCCUUUUAGAUGUUUUUCUUAGCUCUGGUCUGCUGGUGGUACUCCUUCUUGGAUUCCAGGGUAAAUGCAAAUGUAUUUUUACUCUGUCCUUAGUUCCUUCAGGAAUUAUUUAUGUUUUAUUUUGCAAUGCUUUCAUCAAUCCUCUCAGUUUUUUCUGUAGAUAAUAAAGUCUACGAAUGUUGUCUUGAUAAUGUAGUACUCAGAAUUGGGUGUAAUACUCUGGUUAUAUUCCGAGCAAAUGGCAAUGUUAUUUUACUUUCUUAUCUGAAUAUCAUACUAUAAUUUUUUUUUGAUCUAAAGCUACUGUAUCUUUGUAAUUCUGCUUGAAGAAGACAAAGAUAAUCCUACUUUCUUUUCCUAGAUGAAGGCUUAUGUUCUAGGCUUUUAUUUUGUACAUCUGAUCUUAUUUUUAAUUUUACCGAAGCAGAUAUCUCCAUAUCCUACCACAGCCUCCUCUCAAUCUGAUGCUCACUGCAACAAGGCCAUUUAAAGCUCAGCCAGAAGGGUUGAUCCGACUGUCUUUGCUUGAAGAAUGUCUCCACUGCUUUUACACAAAGGUACUGAGGGACUCCAAAGUUUGCUAGAUUUAGUGUGUGAUCUUUUUCUCUGUAAAUUCUUCCUCUCUUUUAGAGUCCUCACUUUUCAUUGAGGCUAGGAUUAAUGUAAUAUACUACAGAGGGCAACAUAGCACUGAUCAGGGAAGAAAGAAACGUUCACUGGAAGUUUUUGACAUGUCUCCAAACAAGGAAAGCACAGGUUCGCUUCUGUAUCCUCGGUCCUGUAUCUGGCCUCCAGAGGGUGAUGUUGCACAAGGGACAGAUGCCUGUUUCCCUUGAUGAUCAACACUUUCUGCUCAGCCCCUUCUUCCUGCAGCUGGCUUACUGAAGCGCCUCAUUGGAGUUCUUUGAAGAUGGGGCAAGCGAAGAGAAUCAAAGAUUGAAAACCAAUCAGGAUUAUCUCAGCAGUUUUUGUAUUUUUACCAAAACAAGAGACUUGCCUAGCCCAACCUUCCUCAUACUCGCUAUUCCCAAGACCUGGGUUCCAGCCACUUUCUUCCUUGCUCCAAGGAGAAUUUCCAAUGAGAUGCCUGCAGUGUUUCCAUAGCUCAGCCAUGCUCCCGUUGCUCAUUCCAGUUCUGGGGAUGAUUUUUGCCCUGAGAGAUGCCAGAGGCCAGUCUGUGAGCCAGCCUGACUACCAUGUAAUUCUCUCUGAAGGGGCUUCACUGGAGUUGAGAUGCAACUAUUCCUAUGGUGGAAUUGUUUAUCUCUUCUGGUAUGUCCAGAACCCUGGUCAAGACCUUCAGCUUCUCCUCAAGUACUAUUCAGGGGACACACUGGUUAAAGGCAUCAAAGGCUUUGAGGCUGAAUUUAUGAAGAGUAGAUCUUCCUUUAACCUGAGGAAACCCUCUGUGCAGUGGAGUGACACGGCUGAGUACUUCUGUGCUGUGAAAGCCACAGUAUCUGGGACUGCAAAGGGAGCUGAACACAAACUUUGUAAGGUGCUAGGGGGAAUAACUGCCUCUGAAAGAUUUUGGAUUCUGACACAGUAGAAACCAUGAUGCUUUUUAAAAAAAUUUAUUUUUAAUUUUUAUGGCUACAUAGUAGAUGUAUAUGUUUAUAGGGUACAUGAGAUAUUUUGAUACAGGCAUGCAAUGCAUAACAAUUACAUCACAUAAAUGGGAUACCCAUCCCCUGAAGCAUUUAUCCUUUGUGUUACAAACAAUCCAAUUAUACUAUCUUAGUUAUUUAAAAAUGUACAAUUAAAUUGUUAUUGACUAUAGUUACCCUGUUGUGCUAUCAAAUACCAGGUCUUAUUCAUUCUUUCUAUUUUUUUGUACCCAUUAAACAUCCCUCUUCUCCCCCACCCUCCCAAUAUUGUUCCCAGCCUCUAGAAACCAUCCUUGUCUUCUAUUCUGUAUCUCCAUGAGUUUGAUUGUUUUGAUUUUUAAAUCCCACAGAUAAGUAUGUGAACAUGUAAUGUUUAUCUUUCGGAGCCUGGCUUAUUUCACUUAGCAUAAUGACCUCCAGUUCCAUUCAUCUUGCUGCUGUGACCCUAAAAGUAUCUGAGACAAGUCUCAAUCAAUUAAGAAGGUUUAUUUGCCAAAGUUAAAGAUGCACCCAUGACACAGCCUCAGGAAGUCCUGAUGACAUGUGCCCAAGGUGGUUGGGGUACAGCUUGCUUUUAUACAGUUUAGGGAAACAUAAUACAGCAAUCAAUACAUGUAAGAUUUACAGUGGUUAGAUCUGGAAGGGCGGUACAACUUGAAGGCGAGCUUUCAGAUCACAGGCAGAACUUAAAAAUUUUCUGAUUGGCAGUUGUUUAUUAUCAAUAGAAAGCAAUGUCUGGGCUAUGAUCAGAGGUUGUGGAGACCAAAGUUUUAUCAUGCAGAUGAAGCUCCAGGUAGCAGGCUUCAGAGAGAAUAGAUAGUAAAUGUUUCUUAUCAGACUUAAAGUGCAUGUUGAUGUUAAUGACAGUUAGCUUUUCUUGAAUUCCCAAAGGGAAAUUCAAAAGGGAGGAGGGUAUAUGAGGCAUGUCCCCCCUUCCCAUCGUGGCCCAAACUAGUUUUUCAGGUUAACAUUGGCAUGCCCUUGGCUGAGAGAUGUCCAUUCAGAUGGUUGGAGACCUGAUAAUUUUGUUUUUGCUUUAUAUAUUACAAAUGAUAGAAUCUCAUUCUUUUUGUGAAGCCAUGAAGUUCUUAUUCGACAGUAUGGAGGUGCUCAGGGAUUUGCUGGGUUAUAUUCUCUACUGUCUCUGAGAGGCUGAUGAUCUUUGUAAGACUUAAAAACACAACGCAGUCCUGUGUUCCAGAAUGACUGCAGUGGGUGCUUUAUACACUACAUAUGAGAGCGAGAAAUGGUAAUGUCUUUCAAUUCCAAACUGGAGCAUGGUACUGAGGAAAUGUAACUGCUGGCACCAAGAACCUCAAGCACCUGGAAAUGCAUUUUCCAUUCUCACACCAACAACCCUGUCUGAGAUGUCAGAGUAGUUUUAUUUAUAUGAUUUUAUAAAUGUAAAGAACUUUAUAUAAUACAUAUAUAUAUAAAGUAGAAACCAGAAAUAUUUAAUUUCUAACAUAAGUA